rnacentral:rRNA from 1 species
CCUACGGGUGGCAGCAGUGAGGAAUAUUGGUCAAUGGGCGGGAGCCUGAACCAGCCAAGUCGCGUGAGGGAAGACGGUCCUAUGGAUUGUAAACCUCUUUAGGCGGGGAGCAAUGCCGGGCACGCGUGCCCGGAGGGAGAGUACCCGCAGAAUAAGCAUCGGCUAACUCCGUGCCAGCAGCCGCGGUAAUACGGAAGGCCCGAGCGUUAUCCGGAUUCAUUGGGCUUAAAGGGAGCGUAGGCGGUCGUUCAAGUCAGCUGUAAAAUCGCGCGGCUCAACCGCGCCCCGCAGUUGAAACUGGACGCCUUGAGUUCACAACAGGCAGGCGGAAUUCGUGGUGUAGCGGUGAAAUGCAUAGAUAUCACGAGGAACCCCGAUUGCGAAGGCAGCCUGCCGGGGUGCGACUGACGCUGAGGCUCGAAGGUGCGGGUAUCAAACAGGAUUAGAUACCCCUGUAGUC